UACAGAGGGUGCAAGCGUUAAUCGGAAUUACUGGGCGUAAAGGGCACGUAGGCGGUUAUAUAAGUCAGAUGUGAAAUCCCCGGGCUUAACCUGGGAACUGCAUUUGAAACUAUAUGACUAGAGUAGGAUAGAGGAAAGCGGAAUUUCCGGUGUAGCGGUGAAAUGCGUAGAGAUCGGAAGGAACACCAGUGGCGAAGGCGGCUUUCUGGAUUCAUACUGACGCUGAGGUGCGAAAGCGUGGGGAGCAAACAGG
rnacentral:rRNA from 1 species